AGACAGAAGAAAAAUUAGAGAAGUUUGAGAGAGAAAAAUAGAGCGACAGAGAGUUUGAGCAAACAGUGAGUGAGCUGAGAGUUGCAGAGGAGGCUGAGCUUGAGGACUUGUUGAUUCAGUGAGGAAAUCUCUUUUCAGUUUUCAGGUACCGAAGAUGAACGAGGAUCGCUAGAGACGGGCUUAGAAUAAAAAGUCGGCGUUGUUAGUUAUAUUUUUUUUUAUUUGGAGUUUUUUUUUUUGUAUAUUUGAGGAAAUUGACUUUGUAUAAAAGAGGGGGGUAAUUUUUA